ensembl:lincRNA
AUGCCAAAGAUUUCCUGUCUACCUCACAGGAGAAAAGAGGACUUGAUCUUGACAGUUCAACCAGUAAUGUCACUAGAGAUCAGAAAGACACCAUUAGUCUUCUUGCUUCUAAAAUGCCCUUCUCUGAGAACCCCAGUUGACAGUGAUAAAACGAUUGACGUUACAUUACAAUUUCUGCCCCUUCAUUUAUCUUUGCUGCAAAAUGAAGACUGUCAGAGAUUGAAAGGUUUACAUUCAAGGCAAAUUUAAAGUGACUUCCUUUAUCUCCGAUAUGAACAAGAUUUCAAGGGAUGAAAAACUAAAUAUCCAAGGCAUGAGUACUUUCUGUUACACUUGGUGAACAUUUUGAAACCCCUUCUUUGUCAUUUUAUUCAUAACAAAACCAUAAAAUAGAUACAACUUGAGAAAAAUAAUAGUAAGCAAGACUUAUUGGAUUCAUUAUACCAUUGAGCUCCUUUACAUGUUACAUAGUAUUCGCAACUAUCCGUUCCCAUAAAUCUGUGAGGUAUUAUAAUUCUGCACACAAAAUAAAAGAGAGCAUUAGCAGAAAGUACAAAAUUGUUCACUUUUAUUUUUUCUUUUCUUUUAUUUUCCAUUCAUUUAUUUAGUUCAUAAAUAAAGUCAUGCACAAUUAUGAUACAUAAUACAGUAUGUUCACAAUGGCAUGGCUAAAUUAAACCAAUUAACAUGUUAUAUCACACAUAUUCAUCAUUUUUGUUUUGAGAACACUUAAAGUAUACUAUCUCACAACUUUUAAAAUAUAGCAUAUUGUUAUCAACCAUAUUUAUCAUGCUCUCAGUAGACCUCAGGACAUCACAAAGUCCUCACUUUUCAUUAUUAAGGUCUUUAGAGCUCUGAGGGUGUAUCCAAAAGCUCAUCCUGAUAUUUUAGUGACAAAAAAGUAAACAUUUUUGUGAUAUAGUCAUCAUUACAAUAUAGUUAAUCUGCUUUGCAUAAUUUAUGCAUUGUAUUUGAAUAUAAGUAUGUUUUAAGAUCUUUUUAUUACAAUUAUAAUUUUACAAUAAAAGCUACGAAAAUAAUUUUAAUUUUGAAAAUUGAUAACUACUCAAAUGUUUAUCGAACUUAGUGCUUUUAAAAAGCAAUUACGUGUACUCAUGCUUGCAGCAAUUUAAAGUAUAAAUUAUUAAAGUUGAGAAAUAUAUAAUGAUUAAUAUGGAAUAAAAGUGAGUUAAGUGUCUUAUUUUUGUAGUUCAAUGCAAUGUUACCAGUAAAAUAACAGACUGUGCCAUAAUGCAUUAUCUCUUAUAUGGGGUUAAAAUCCUUUCAUAUAACUAAAAGUUUGUUAGCAAAAUCUGUACAAAGACAUGAACAGUAAAAUAUAUAAACAGUACUGAUACAGACCAAGUUAGUUCAGAAAAGUACAGACAUUACUGUGUUCUGGACUUACAAACAUCAGGAAAGCAUGGUGCUGGUAAAAGAAUAAAUCGGCCAGUGGGACAGAAUCUAUGUCUAAAAGUAGAGUCAUGCAAAUGUAGCCAAUUAGUUAUUUUUAAAUGUAAAGAUAUUUUCUGCCAUAGACAAUAGAACAAUUAAUAGUACUUAAAACACAAAUUUUAAUAGGACAUCUUAUAGAAUUUUAACUAUAAAUGAAUUAUUUAUUCUACUUAAAACCCUGAUCUGUGUAGCAUUUGGUAAAAAAAAAAAGAAAAGAAAUGACAGUUUUGAGCCAGGAUUAAAUAAGAGGCCAUAGUCAUAACACAAAAGACAAAUGAAUGCCACUUUGAAAUGAGGCAGAUUGUAAACUGGAACAGUGAGUCUGGGAAGGAAAACCAAGUUUGGCUGUGUCGUUACUCAUAUAGCUAUCCGAGAAAUUCAUCAGUUUCAUUGAAGGAGAUGGCACAAAAACUAUGAUUACAUGAAAGACAGGACACAGAAACUUACAACUCGGCUCAUAAUGACUGACUAUAUAUCACUUGUAUGCUGGACAGACUGAUGCUGGGGAUAACCAGCCUAAGAAUACAAGCAGUAAUAACCCAGGAAUAAAAGAGCCAUUGUCUCCUGAAACUGACUUGAAUCUCAAAUUGAUUACGCUGAAUGAAAGUACUAAAGCUCCAGAAGUCACAUACUCUAAGGUGCCAUUGAAAAGACAUCCCUUAAAAUUUUACCCCUAAAACUGUAGUAAGAGAGCAAGUCUGUAUUGUUAACAAUGGUGUGUGUGAAAGGGAUUACUAAAAUGUGUGAGUGAAGGGGAAAUAUAGGGCUUGAUGAAAGUUUGAUGUGUCCAAAUUGCUACUACUUACACUCAUCUUUCAGGGUGAUGAAAUCCAAAGAACUACAAUGAAAAAGUUAACUAUAUAUAGUAUUAAACAAAUAUUAAAUGUUCAAUAUUAAUAGAAUAAAUUAAUUUUAAAUAAAGUAGAGAUUUUCACUUAUUUUUCACUUUUAAAAUCACUUAUCAUUAUAUUUUUCUCUAAACGUGUAUUUUAGUGUCUGACGAAAGGACAAUAAAAUAAUCAAAGAAUUCAAGGAAAGAAGUUAUGGAUGAAAAGAGGCAACCAGAAAUUAAGAGAAAGAAUGAUUGAACUUUAUAGAAACAAAGAUUUUCUAUUUAUAAACAAACAUUGAAAGUCAAGAACCU